UGGGGAAUUUUGGACAAUGGGCGCAAGCCUGAUCCAGCCAUGCCGCGUGCGGGAAGAAGGCCUUCGGGUUGUAAACCGCUUUUGUCAGGGAAGAAAUCUUCUGAGUUAAUACCUCGGGAGGAUGACGGUACCUGAAGAAUAAGCACCGGCUAACUACGUGCCAGCGGCCGCGGUAAUACGUAGGGUGCAAGCGUUAAUCGGAAUUACUGGGCGUAAAGCGUGCGCAGGCGGUUUUGUAAGACAGAGGUGAAAUCCCCGGGCUCAACCUGGGAACUGCCUUUGUGACUGCAAGGCUUGAGUGCGGCAGAGGGGGAUGGAAUUCCGCGUGUAGCAGUGAAGUGCGUAGAUAUGCGGAGGAACACCGAUGGCGAAGGCAAUCCCCUGGGCCUGCACUGACGCUCAUGCACGAAAGCGUGGGGAGCAAAACAGGAUUAGAUACCCUGGUAGUCCACGCCCUAAAACGAUGUCAACUGGUUGUUGGGAAGGUUCCUUCUCAGUAACGUAGCUAACGCGUGAAGUUGACCGCCUGGGGAGUACGGCCGCAAGGUUGAAACUCAAAUGAAUUGACGGGGUCAUAGCUGUUUCCUG
rnacentral:rRNA from 1 species